UCCGUUGGUGAACCAGCGGAGGGAUCAUUACCGAGUACUAUAACUCAUAACCCUUUGUGAACCUUCAUACCUGUUGCUUCGGCGGCGCGCCUCUCGGGGCGUGCCCGCCGGCAUUAUCAGAAUCUCUGUUCGAACCCGACGAUACUUCUGAGUGUUCUAAGCGAACUGUUAAAACUUUCAACAACGGAUCUCUUGGCUCCAGCAUCGAUGAAGAACGCAGCGAAACGCGAUAUGUAAUGUGAAUUGCAGAAUUCAGUGAAUCAUCGAAUCUUUGAACGCACAUGGCGCCUUCCAGUAUCCUGGGAGGCAUGCCUGUCCGAGCGUCGUUUCAACCCUCGAGCCCCCGUGGCCCGGCGUUGGGGACCUGCCCAGGCAGUCCCCGAAAACCAGUGGCGGACCCGACGGGCCCUUCCUUUGCGUAGCAACAUCUGCCUCGCAUCGGGAGCCCCCGGGCUAUCCGGCCUCUAAACCCCCCUCAAGCCCGCUCCGGCGGCACCAAGGUUGACCUCGGAUCAGGUAGGAAUACCCGCUGAACUUAAGCAUAUCAAUAAGCGGAGGA
rnacentral:rRNA from 1 species